rnacentral:lncRNA from 1 species
AAGAUGACGCAAUCUCACUAAUUCGAGCCAGGCUUGCAGUCAACAUAAUUGCGCGAACACGCCUUUCUUAAGCAGCACUAGAGGCCGAACAUGGAUCUAAUCGAUCAGUAAAGAGAGAGCAGCUCCUGCUCUUAGAAUCGUACGAAGAACUGAAAGAUUGAAUUAACGUUACACUGCUGCAGUAAAUAAAAUAAGAGAGAAAGGCUGGCAAAUAAUUGCUGAUCGACUGAAUGCAUGUGGAUCCAGCCACGCCCCCUGGGUCUUGUGUUCUGCAGGGAGGGGCUUCUGGAUGUAGCUGUAACUGGGGGCGGGCCUCCACCAACACCUUAACUCCUGCAGAGGAGCUGGCCUUGGACCUGAACAACCGGAGGCCAGUCAUUGAGGGAACAGCUUCUGAAACCAUACCACCUAAUAGAAGGAGUGACUUCAUAAAAGUGAUGGCAAAUUCUGUGUGCUUGUUGGAGCCACCAGAUGUCCUGUUGAACCCUGAGGAAGACCCAUCUACAACUGAGGAGGAUGAGGAGAGCGUGUCAGCCUGAGGACGCUGACAUCCUUCCAGAAACCAGUCAGACUGGAACUGGAAGUGCUACCUCCUUAAAGAAAUGGAUGUUCUGGAUGUAGACAUUCAAUAUAAGAAGUUGAAGAUGAGAAAGCUGGAGCUGGAAAUCCAAAAACUGGAGAACUGUUGUGAUGAAACACUGACACUUGACAUUUUGGUCACCAUUUAAUCGUAUGUGUUUUGUUUUUCUUCUCCAGCAGCCAGCUUUAAGUUGAAAUUAAAAAAAAAUAAUAAUAAAUGAAAUACAAAUUAUGUGACUUGUGUGUGUUGUGUAAUGAAAUUGAGGGGCAAGUAGAGGGCUACAAACAUAAAAUGAAAGCCUUCA